GGGUCAUGAAAACAUCUCUCUCUCUCUCUCUCUCUCUCUCUCUCUCUCUCUCUCUCGUUGGCUGGUUUUUAUUUCCUCUGUGUGUGUGUGUGUGUGUGUGUGAGAGAGAGAGAGAGAGAGAGAGAGAGAAAGAGAAAGAGAAAGAGAGAGAUAUGCAUGACUC
rnacentral:miRNA from 1 species